AUUGAACGCUGGCGGCAUGCUUUACACAUGCAAGUCGAACGGUAACAGGCCGCAAGGUGCUGACGAGUGGCGAACGGGUGAGUAAUGCAUCGGAACGUGCCCAGUCGUGGGGGAUAACGCAGCGAAAGCUGCGCUAAUACCGCAUACGAUCUAUGGAUGAAAGCGGGGGACCGUAAGGCCUCGCGCGAUUGGAGCGGCCGAUGUCAGAUGAGGUAGUUGGUGGGGUAAAGGCUCACCAAGCCAAAGAUGUGUAGCUGGUCUGAGAGGACGAACAGCCACACGGGGACUGAGACACGGCCCAGACUCCUACGGGAGGCAGCAGUGGGGAAUUUUGGACAAUGGGCGCAAGCCUGAUCCAGCAAUGCCGCGUGCAGGAAGAAGGCCUUCGGGUUGUAAACUGCUUUUGUACGGAACGAAACGGUCCUGGUUAAUACCUGGGGCUAAUGAUGGUACCGUAAGAAUAAGCACCGGCUAACUACGUGCCAGCAGCCGCCGUAACAC
rnacentral:rRNA from 1 species